rnacentral:rRNA from 1 species
UGGGGAAUUUUGGACAAUGGGCGAAAGCCUGAUCCAGCAAUGCCGCGUGUGUGAAGAAGGCCUUCGGGUUGUAAAGCACUUUUGUCCGGAAAGAAAUCCUUGGCUCUAAUACAGUCGGGGGAUGACGGUACCGGAAGAAUAAGCACCGGCUAACUACGUGCCAGCAGCCGCGGUAAUACGUAGGGUGCAAGCGUUAAUCGGAAUUACUGGGCGUAAAGCGUGCGCAGGCGGUUUGCUAAGACCGAUGUGAAAUCCCCGGGCUCAACCUGGGAACUGCAUUGGUGACUGGCAGGCUAGAGUAUGGCAGAGGGGGGUUAGAAUUCCACGUGUAGCAGUGAAAUGCGUAGAGAUGUGGAGAAUACCGAUGGCGAAGGCAGCCCCCUGGGCCAAUACUGACGCUCAUGCACGAAGGCGUGGGGAGCAAACAGGAUUAGAUACCCUGGUAGUCCACGCCCUAAA